rnacentral:rRNA from 1 species
CGGGUGGGAUCCACACAGGUGCUGCAUGGCUGUCGUCAGCUCGUGUCGUGAGAUGUUGGGUUAAGUCCCGCAACGAGCGCAACCCUCAUCUUCAGUUGCCAGCAGGUUAAGCUGGGCACUCUGAAGAAACUGCCGGUGACAAGCCGGAGGAAGGUGGGGAUGACGUCAAGUCCUCAUGGCCCUUACGGGUUGGGCUACACACGUGCUACAAUGGCGGUGACAAUGGGUUGCAAGCCCGCGAGGGUUAGCUAAUCUCCAAAAGCCGUCUCAGUUCGGAUUGCACUCUGCAACUCGAGUGCAUGAAGUCGGAAUCGCUAGUAAUCGUGGAUCAGCAUGCCACGGUCGAAUACGUUCCGGCCUUGUACACACCGCCCGUCACACCAUGGGAGUUGGUUUUACCCGAAGCCGGUGAGCUAACCGCAAGGAGGCAGCCGACCACGGUAAGGUCAGUGACUGGGGUGAAGUCGUAACAAGGUAGCCGUAGGGGAACCUGCGGCU